rnacentral:lncRNA from 1 species
UCCAGAACUGGAGGAAUUAAUCCCAGCUCUGUUAAACUCCGGGACGGUUCUUCUUCGUGAUACAGAAAAGUCAGGAAAAGGGGAAUUGGAUGUGCAACAGACUCCAAGUGAAUUCGGAUCCUUUCACUCCGGAUUCUGUUGGGGUCAUGGGGGUGAUUCUUGUGAUGAAGACAUGGAAGCCAGUGCUCAGGAGCUGGGAGAUGAAACGUGGCCUGCUGAGAGAACUGCAGUGACUGAGAGCAAAGCGAGGUUAAGGCGCACAGCAGUUUCAGGAGCUGCAGAUAAUUGCUCUGGAGGUUUUGGUUCUGUGUUUACUGUGUGAAGAGGCAGGAUGGAUGCAUGCACCGCAUUAGGUGAUCAGAAAAGCCUUAGGCCAAUUCUACAGUGAGCAAAGCGCUCUGAGAGGAGCACAGGCUCUACUGCAGUGCCUGGACGUCUUCCUCAUGCAGUUCCGUGUUUCUCUGCCUGGGCAGAAGAUGGUGCUAUGCUUACUCAGGAUGAAUACUGUCAUAGUGGAAGUUUAGCUAUGCUGCAGUGAAAACUGCAGAAUCAUGAGUUACUUCAAAGAAGCAGAGUUGAAGGGUCUCCUUUUGCAAGGUAGCUGGGGUUUGACCUAUAUUCAUUCAAUGUCUUUGGUUCACAGGGAUAUAAAAUCUAGUACUGUUUUUACUUCUCGAGUCUCAAUACCAGAUGCUGCCUCUGAAGAAGAGGAAGAUGACUGGGGAUCCAACCAAAUUAUGUUAAACACAGGUGAUCUUGGACUUGUAACAAGCAUCUCUAGUCCACAGUUUGAAGAGGGUGAUAGGUGUUUUCCUGCAAAUGAAGUUUUACAGGAGAAUUAUACCCAUCUACCCAAAGAGAUGUGUUCCUGCUGCUGAACCUCUUCCCAGAAAUAGAGACCAGUGCAUGAAUUCACACAGGCCAGGUUACCCUGAUACCACAAGGGCUUUCCCAAAAGUUUACAGAGUUGAUAAAAGUUAUGAUUCCUCCAGAUCCAGAGAGAAGACCUUCAAGCAAUGGCCCUGGUAAGCAUUCGGUACUGCUGUCUGCUUCUAGAAAGAGAGAAGAACAGUAACAAAUAGAAUCGAAGCCUGGAAAGUUCAAAAAUUUGCUUUUAGAAGGAUAACUCAAGGAAGCACAGAUGGCAGAGGCUGCAGCUGAAGCAGAGCGCUCUGCUGGCGGGACAGCCAUCGUGUCCAGCACCCAGAGUAAUGGGCCAUUCAGCCUAGUGGAAGGCACAUGAGCUGCUCCAUCAACCUUCCUGCAUACUC